CAUGAUCGUGUAGGGGAGUUUGGCUUACAUAACGCAUGAACCAGUAUUUUCUUGAAGAUUUCAACAAAAGAUCAAGAAACUAGAGGAAUAGUUUUUUCAACUUUCCUGUAUCUCCAAACUCAGCCUCCCACUGCUUCUGGGCCAGCUAUGCUGUCUGCUUUGUGCUUAGGACUUGUGGUCUUGUUGACAAUGCGAGGGACCAAUGGUGAUUCAGUGAACCAGACAGAAGGCCCAGUGACUGUCUCAGAGGGGGCUCUCAUGACCCUGAACUGCACUUACCAGACUGCUGGUUCGGCUCCCUAUCUUUUCUGGUAUAUCCAGCAUCUCAACAAAGCUCCUCAACUCCUCCUGAAGGGCUCGAUGACAAACCAGAGGCCCGAGCAUGAAGGUUUUCAGGCCACUCUUGUUAAGAAGGACAGCUCCUUCCACCUGCAGAGACGGGCAGUGCAAGCAUCAGACUCGGCUGUGUGCUACUGCACUCCGAGUGAGAUGUGACUCAGGGCUGCAGGGGGAGCUGAGCACAAGCCCAGAGCGCAGAUGGGGCUCUGGCUGUGGGCAGACCCAGAAGGUCUGUCUUCACUGUCUUCAGUUUUUUAUGCUAGCUGUGUUGUUGUUUAUUUGCUAAGUCAUGUCAGACUCUUUUGCGACCCUAUGACUGUGGUGGGCUUCUCUGUCCAUGGAA